rnacentral:miRNA from 1 species
AGUGGGAUAGCUGGGUCAAAUGGUGGUUCUAGUCGCAGUUUUUCAAGGAGUGUUCAUACUGCUUUCCAGAUUGGCUGCACCAAUUUGCAGUCCCACCAGCAAU